GUGCUCACUUCGGCAGCACAUAUACUAAAAUUGGAACGAUACAGAGAAAAUUAGCACAGCCCCAGCGCAAGGA
rnacentral:snRNA from 1 species